GGUCAAAGUGUUGAGUUCAGUCUGGCUGCUCGGUGCCGGUCUGAUAAUUAAACUUUGAGACAGAAACCUGCCGCAGAGACUCGGUUCACAU
rnacentral:snoRNA from 1 species